ACUCCUACGGGAGGCAGCAGUAGGGAAUCUUCCACAAUGGGCGAAAGACCUGAUGGAGCAACGCCGCGUGGGUGAAGAAGGUCUUCGGAUCGUAAAACCCUGUUGUUAGAGAAGAAAGUGCGUGAGAGUAACUGUUCACGUUUCGACGGUAUCUAACCAGAAAGCCACGGCUAACUACGUGCCAGCAGCCGCGGUAAUACGUAGGUGGCAAGCGUUAUCCGGAUUUAUUGGGCGUAAAGGGAACGCAGGCGGUCUUUUAAGUCUGAUGUGAAAGCCUUCGGCUUAACCGGAGUAGUGCAUUGGAAACUGGGAGACUUGAGUGCAGAAGAGGAGAGUGGAACUCCAUGUGUAGCGGUGAAAUGCGUAGAUAUAUGGAAGAACACCAGUGGCGAAAGCGGCUCUCUGGUCUGUAACUGACGCUGAGGUUCGAAAGCGUGGGUAGCAAAC
rnacentral:rRNA from 1 species